rnacentral:rRNA from 1 species
UACGAAGGGGGCUAGCGUUGCUCGGAAUCACUGGGCGUAAAGCGCACGUAGGCGGAUUGCUAAGUCAGGGGUGAAAUCCUGGAGCUCAACUCCAGAACUGCCUUUGAUACUGGCGAUCUUGAGUCCGGGAGAGGUGAGUGGAACUGCGAGUGUAGAGGUGAAAUUCGUAGAUAUUCGCAAGAACGCCAGUGGCGAAGGCGGCUCACUGGCCCGAUACUGACGCUGAGGCACGAAAGCGUGGGGAGCAAACAGG